rnacentral:rRNA from 1 species
GGCUCAGGAUAAACGCUGGCGGCGCACAUAAGACAUGCAAGUCGAACGGACUUAAUCGAUUCUUUUAGAUUCGAAGCGGUUAGUGGCGGACUGGUGAGUAACACGUAAGCAACCUGCCUAUUAGAGGGGAAUAACAGUGAGAAAUCACUGCUAAAACCGCAUAUGCCGUGAACAUCGCAUGAUGAAAACGGGAAAAGAGCAAUCUGCUAAUAGAUGGGCUUGCGUCUGAUUAGCUAGUUGGUGUGGUAAUGGCAUACCAAGGCAACGAUCAGUAGCCGGACUGAGAGGUUGAACGGCCACAUUGGGACUGAGAUACGGCCCAGACUCCUACGGGAGGCAGCAGUCGGGAAUAUUGCGCAAUGGAGGAAACUCUGACGCAGUGACGCCGCGUAUGGGAAGAAGGUUUUCGGAUUGUAAACCAUUUUAGACAAGGAAGAAACAAGACAGUACUUGUAGAAUAAGCUCCGGCUAACUACGUGCCAGCAGCCGCGGUAAUACGUAGGGAGCAAGCGUUAUCCGGAUUUAUUGGGUGUAAAGGGUGCGUAGACGGGAAGGUAAGUUAGUUGUGAAAUCCCUCGGCUCAACUGAGGAACUGCGACUAAAACUGCUUUUCUUGAGUGCUGGAGAGGAAAGUGGAAUUCCUAGUGUAGCGGUGAAAUGCGUAGAUAUUAGGAGGAACACCAGUGGCGAAGGCGACUUUCUGGACAGUAACUGACGUUGAGGCACGAAAGUGUGGGGAGCAAACAGGAUUAGAUACCCUGGUAGUCCACACCGUAAACGAUGGAUACUAGGUGUAGGGGAUAUUAAGUCUUCUGUGCCGUCGCAAACGCAGUAAGUAUCCCACCUGGGGAGUACGGCCGCAAGGUUGAAACUCAAAGGAAUUGACGGGGGCCCGCACAAGCAGUGGAGUAUGUGGUUUAAUUCGACGCAACGCGAAGAACCUUACCAAGGCUUGACAUAUACAGGAAUAUAUAAGAGAUUAUAUAGCUCUUCGGAGUCUGUAUACAGGUGGUGCAUGGUUGUCGUCAGCUCGUGUCGUGAGAUGUUGGGUUAAGUCCC